rnacentral:rRNA from 1 species
AUGUGUCUCUUCGGAUUGUUACAACAAAUAAAUCAGGUGCUAUUAAUCCUAAUAAUUUUUUCUUGCAUGGGUUUAUUUUUCCCGAGGAAUUAUUACUCUGUUUUGCUCCAUCAUCUGUACACAGGUCUGUCAAAUGAUGGCCGCAUUAACGAUGGUUGCGUGAUUGUUCUGUCAGUUUCCGGUCCGCAGUUCGGCAAACACCGCAUCGGGGACUCGGGCCGCACUGCGAAUUCAGGCUUUAUCACGCCGACACCCCGCAUCGACAUUGGCUUCGACGCCAGGCCACAUCUCUUUGAAUUUUUUUUAUUUUGCGUAAAUUAA